rnacentral:lncRNA from 1 species
GUUUUGGGAAUCACGUAGCACAAUGAAUUAAAAAAUAGAAAACGUGGAGGUGGGAACCACAGCUUCAAUAAGGUACACUCAGAUCUUCAUUUAUCUCCUAUUUUAUGUUCUGUACAGGAUAUAUGGAAAGGAUACAGUUUCUGCUUUCAAGGAACUCACUCUUACGGUGACGGACGGCACUUUACCAGUUCCCGCAGCCACCAUUCUCCAGAGCCCAUAACUUGAAGAAUCUUCUGACUCACAACCUCCAUUCAGAGCAAUAAUUUCUACGAGCAACUCUCCACGCUCCUGAAGCAUGCUGGAAUGAAUGGAAACACACUGUUGAUGCCUAAGGCUACGCUCGAAAACUCUGGGUCGGGCGACUGCAUUGCUGCAGAUGAAGUGGUGGCAGCACUAAGUUUUAGUCCACGAGGGGACGCUCUAACCUGAGAAAAGUUUCUUUAGCCUUCCAGGAUUAUUGCUGAAUGAAGAAUAAAAAUCUCUGAAAGAGGAAGAAGGCUAAUGAUUUAGCUCAGGGAAGAGGAAGGGGAGCAGAGAACAUGGGCCAGAAAAUUGUUAAUAACAUACACGAUCCUGCUUUCUUAUCACCACUUCUCUUUUCUUAUCUCCGAGAAUCAAAGUGAAGCUUGAGAUUAAAACAAGACAAUGUGUUUCAUAUUUCUGUAUUUCUGUAGUUUCACAAAUCCAUAUUUCUUAGUAUCAGGGACCAAUACGAGCUUUUACUUGUUUGUCCAGAAAUUCUUUCCAACCUCUGAUUGUUGCUCUUCUCUACACCAUGCUGAUGCCUCACAGGAAAUCAGAAACUCAAUGAUACAAAAAAUAAAAGCAAAGAAAGAGGCAAAUAAAGAAAAAAGAAAGUAUAUAUGUGAAGAAGAGAGUGGAGAAAUAAAAGGGGUGGGAGCGCAGAUGAAGGUGGAGCAGAGUCCUGGGGUCCUUAUCCUCCAGGAGGGGAGAAAUUCCUCUCUGAUGUGCAAUUGUUCUACCACCAUGACCGGUGUGCAGUGGUUCUAACAAAAUCCUGGAGGAUGCCUCAUAUCCUUGAUUUACAUAGCUUCUGGAGUGCAGCAUAAAGGAAGAUUAAUAUUCACAGUCAAUACUAAGGAACGUUACAGCCACCUCUACAUCAGAGACUCUCAGCGUGGGGACUCAGCCACUUACUUCUGUGCGGUGGAGCACAGUGCUGUCUAGACACCUGCAGCCUGUACAGAAACCAGAGCUGAAGACCUAACCCAACCCCCAGAGUGAGAGCAGUGGCCCAGGGUAAUUAGAAUUGUAUUCCCAUUGCCUUGCAUCUCCUGACUCAUGCAGAAGGCAUUUCUAAAUGAGCUACAAAUUGACACUACAAUGCAGGCACAGACAGGUUCAUCUGGAGAUCUCUGUGGGGAUAGUAUUACUAGGUAAAAUCUAUAGAUCGAAAGGCUCUUUCCUAUCCAAUUCUGUCUUUCUAAAUGGAAUGAGCAGACAAAUCAAUAUGGAGCAGAGUCCUUGAGGCCUCCAUCUCCGAGAGCAAGAAAGCCCCAAUCUCACCCGUACUUUCUUCUCAACAUCCUUAAAGCUUAUCUUGGUACAGACAGAAUCCUUGGAAAAGCUCCAUGAUGCUUGCUCUAAUACACUUAAAUGGGGAAGGAAGGGAGGAGAAAAGAUACAGGGCAACUAUUAGCAUGAAACAUGGGCAGAGCUUUUGGCAUACCAGACCAAAGAC